GACGAACGCUGGCGGCGUGCUUAACACAUGCAAGUCGAACGGAAAGGCCCUGCUUGCAGGGUGCUCGAGUGGCGAACGGGUGAGUAACACGUGGGUGAUCUGCCCCUUACUUUGGGAUAAGCCUGGGAAACUGGGUCUAAUACUGGAUAGGACCAUGCUGUAGGUGGUGUGGUGGAAAGAUUAGUUUCGGUAAGGGAUGAGCUCGCGGCCUAUCAGCUUGUUGGUGGGGUAAUGGCCUACCAAGGCGUCGACGGGUAGCCGGCCUGAGAGGGUGGACGGCAAGGUUGGGACUGAUACACGGGGCAGACUCCUACGGGAGGCAGCAGUGGGGGAUAUUGCGCAAUGGGAGCAAGCCGGAUGCAGCGACGCCGCGUGGGGGAUGACGGCCUUCGGGUUGGAAACUCCUUUCAGCCAUGACGAAGCCCGUGUGGUGACGGUAGUGGUAGAAGAAGCACCGGCUAACUACGUG
rnacentral:rRNA from 1 species